CAUGCAGUCGAGCGGUAACAUUUCUAGCUUGCUAGAAGAUGACGAGCGGCGGACGGGUGAGUAAUACUUAGGAAUCUACCUAGUAGUGGGGGAUAGCACGGGGAAACUCGUAUUAAUACCGCAUACGACCUACGGGAGAAAGGGGGCAGUUUACUGCUCUCGCUAUUAGAUGAGCCUAAGUCGGAUUAGCUAGAUGGUGGGGUAAAGGCCUACCAUGGCGACGAUCUGUAGCUGGUCUGAGAGGAUGAUCAGCCACACCGGGACUGAGACACGGCCCGGACUCCUACGGGAGGCAGCAGUGGGGAAUAUUGGACAAUGGGGGAAACCCUGAUCCAGCCAUGCCGCGUGUGUGAAGAAGGCCUUUUGGUUGUAAAGCACUUUAAGCAGUGAAGAAGACUCCUCGGUUAAUACCCGUGGACGAUGACAUUAGCUGCAGAAUAAGCACCGGCUAACUCUGUGCCAGCAGCCGCGGUAAUACAGAGGGUGCAAGCGUUAAUCGGAAUUACUGGGCGUAAAGGGAGCGUAGGUGGCUCGAUAAGUCAGAUGUGAAAUCCCCGGGCUCAACCUGGGAACUGCAUCUGAUACUGUUGAGCUAGAGUAUGUGAGAGGAAGGUAGAAUUCCAGGUGUAGCGGUGAAAUGCGUAGAGAUCUGGAGGAAUACCGAUGGCGAAGGCAGCCUUCUGGCAUAAUACUGACACUGAGGCUCGAAAGCGUGGGUAGCAAACAGGAUUAGAUACCCUGGUAGUCCACGCCGUAAACGAUGUCUACUAGUCGUUGGGUCCCUUGAGGACUUAGUGACGCAGCUAACGCAAUAAGUAGACCGCCUGGGGAGUACGGCCGCAAGGUUAAAACUCAAAUGAAUUGACGGGGGCCCGCACAAGCGGUGGAGCAUGUGGUUUAAUUCGAUGCAACGCGAAGAACCUUACCUGGUCUUGACAUAUCUAGAAUCCUGCAGAGAUGCGGGAGUGCCUUCGGGAAUUAGAAUACAGGUGCUGCAUGGCUGUCGUCAGCUCGUGUCGUGAGAUGUUGGGUUAAGUCCCGCAACGAGCGCAACCCUUGUCCUUAGUUACCAGCGGGUUAAGCCGGGAACUCUAAGGAUACUGCCAGUGACAAACUGGAGGAAGGCGGGGACGACGUCAAGUCAUCAUGGCCCUUACGACCAGGGCUACACACGUGCUACAAUGGUAGGUACAGAGGGCAGCUACACAGCGAUGUGAUGCGAAUCUCAAAAAGCCUAUCGUAGUCCAGAUUGGAGUCUGCAACUCGACUCCAUGAAGUAGGAAUCGCUAGUAAUCGCGGAUCAGAAUGCCGCGGUGAAUACGUUCCCGGGCCUUGUACACACCGCCCGUCACACCAUGGGAGUUGAUUGCACCAGAAGUGGAUAGCUUAAC
rnacentral:rRNA from 1 species